GACGAACGCUGGCGGCGUGCUUAACACAUGCAAGUCGAGCGGAGCGGCGAACGGGUGAGUAACUCGUGAGUAACUGCCCCCCUCUCUGGAAUAACAGUUGGAAACGGCUGCUAAUACCUGAUAGUGGGGGAUGACUCGCGUCCUAUCAGCUUGUGGGUGGGGUAGUGGCCUACCAAGGCGACGACGGGUAGCCGGCCUGAGAGGGCGACCGGCCACAUGGGGCUGAGAUACGGACCAAACGCCUACGGGAGGCAGCAGGGGGGAAUAUUGCACAAUGGGGGAAACCCUGAUGCAGCAACGCGCGUGCGGGAUGACGGCCCUCGGGUUGGAAACCGCUUUCAGCCAUGACGCGGUAGUGGCAGAAGAAGCACCGGCUAACUACGUGCCAGCAGCCGCGGUAAUUC
rnacentral:rRNA from 1 species